UGUGGUAUUUGUGAAAUGGCCGGAAUUUAAUCAUGCGAAAAAGGCUAACGAUGAUUAAGGAAUGGAUGCUUCACCUGGGCAUUUGCUUGGCUGGUAGUGCAUGCAUGCAUGUCCUAUUUGGUGGAGUUAAUGCUUAUGGCCCACACAUGCAUGGGAAGAGAGUAAUUAGCAGAGAUCAUUAGAGCUCUUCUAAGUCAUGGUUCAAUUCGUGGAGUUUUUGGUCGUGAAUCGGUACAGACAAAUACAAGGAGAAAUACAGAAAAAAAAUACUACAAAAAACAGAGAAGAGCAAGGAGAUGC
rnacentral:lncRNA from 1 species